UACAGAGGGUGCGAGCGUUGUCCGGAAUUAUUGGGCGUAAAGAGCUCGUAGGCGGUGUGUCGCGUCGGCCGUGAAAACCUGCAGCUUAACUGUGGGCGUGCGGUCGAUACGGGCAUCACUGGAGUUCGGCAGGGGAGACUGGAAUUCCUGGUGUAGCGGUGAAAUGCGCAGAUAUCAGGAGGAACACCGGUGGCGAAGGCGGGGUCUCUGGGCCGAUACUGACGCUGAGGAGCGAAAGCGUGGGGAGCAAACAGG
rnacentral:rRNA from 1 species